ACAGUACAAACUGAGCAGGCGUAAUGCCGGGUCACCUUGGUGACAGCGGAUGAACAGUAUGGGCAUCUGCGGGACAGUA
rfam:Clostridium sp. CAG:242 genomic scaffold, scf254